UACGUAGGGUGCAAGCGUUGUCCGGAAUUAUUGGGCGUAAAGAGCUCGUAGGCGGUCUGUUGCGUCGGCUGUGAAAACCCGGGGCUCAACCCCCGGGCCUGCAGCCGAUACGGCAGACUAGAGUUCGGCAGGGGGAGACUGGAAUUCCUGGUGUAGCGGUGAAAUGCGCAGAUAUCAGGAGGAACACCGGUGGCGAAGGCGGGUCUCUGGGCCGAUACUGACGCUGAGGAGCGAAAGCGUGGGGAGCGAACAGG
rnacentral:rRNA from 1 species